CCGCCGGGCGGCGUCCGGCAGGCCGGAGGCCGGGGGCUCGGCGGCCGCAGCCCGCAGCGUUCUCUGCGCUCUCGGCGUCGCCUCCGCUGUGCGGAGGGGCGGAUGACACUGCGGAGCCGGACGACGGCGCGCCCUGGAGCCCGAGGCCUGGGGGAUUUGGGCGAGAGCAGCUGCUGGCCUGCAGCCCGAGCCGUUCCGCGCGUCCGGCGCCGGGCUUCUCUCCGAGGACUCGCAGAGAAAUGCAGCAUUCCGGGAGGGAGCGAGGGUACCCUGAGAGCCGGAGCCCCCGAGGGACGUGCCGCUAAGAGGCGUCUCCGCCCGCAACUGGGUCGCCUGGGGUGGGAGUGGGGCCCAGGAAGCCAGUCCUGGCCGCACUCCCUGCCUGGCGGCUCUCAGGCUCACCCCGGAUAAGGAGUGACCCUCUGUCCCCCUGAGCGGGGUCAUACUGAGGGGGAAAUGUCAGAACGCCAAGAACCGGCACCCAGAGUCUCUCAGAUCUGCAGUCUUCACAGCCAGGGCUGCGCACCUGCCGCUUAUGUCUCCUCCCGGCAGGUGGGCUCCUUCCAGCUCACCUGGAGGACCUGGUCUAGGGAAGGGUCUCUGCCUGUGCCUUCAUCCAAGCCCUGUGGGAAGGAGAAAGGGAAACACAAAAAGCACUCUGGCUUCCUAAUUCACUGAGGACUUCUGCCCACGCCACUCCUGUACCUUCCUUGAAAGUAGAAGACAGUCGUAAUUCACAACACAUGGCCCCAGACCUAAAAGAGGCUGGUCUCCAAAUCUGGGCUCAAAAUAAAAUCACAAAUAAACCCG